rnacentral:rRNA from 1 species
GACGAACGCUGGCGGCGCGCUUAACACAUGCAAGUCGAACGAAGAGCGACGGAAGCUUGCUUCUAUCAAUCUUAGUGGCGAACGGGUGAGUAACGCGUAAUCAACCUGCCCUUCAGAGGGGGACAACAGUUGGAAAUGACUACUAAUACCGCAUACGAUCUAAUCUCGGCAUCGAGGAUGGAUGAAAGGUGGCCUCUACAUGUAAGCUAUCACUGAAGGAGGGGAUUGCGUCUGAUUAGCUAGUUGGAGGGGUAACGGCCCACCAAGGCGAUGAUCAGUAGCCGGUCUGAGAGGAUGAACGGCCACAUUGGGACUGAGACACGGCCCAGACUCCUACGGGAGGCAGCAGUGGGGAAUCUUCCGCAAUGGACGAAAGUCUGACGGAGCAACGCCGCGUGAGUGAUGACGGCCUUCGGGUUGUAAAGCUCUGUUAAUCGGGACGAAAGGCCUUCUUGCGAAUAGUGAGAAGGAUUGACGGUACCGGAAUAGAAAGCCACGGCUAACUACGUG